GACAGAGGUCCCGAGCGUUAGGCGGAAUCACUGGGCUUAAAGCGUGUGUAGGCGGAUCGUUAAGUGCCUUGUGAAAUCCCAUGGCUUAACCAUGGAACUGCUUGGCAUACUGGCGAUCUUGAGCCACUUAGGGGCAACCGGAACAAAUGGUGGAGCGGUGAAAUGCGUAGAUAUCUGGAGGAACACCGGUGGCGAAGGCGGCAUCCUGGACCGGCAUUGACGCUGAGGCGCGAAAGCCAGGGGAGCAAACGGG
rnacentral:rRNA from 1 species